AUUGAACGCUGGCGGCAGGCUUAACACAUGCAAGUCGAGCGGGGGAAGGUAGCUUGCUACCGGACCUAGCGGCGGACGGGUGAGUAAUGCUUAGGAAUCUGCCUAUUAGUGGGGGACAACAUCUCGAAAGGGAUGCUGAUACCGCAUACGUCCUACGGGAGAAAGCAGGGGAUCUUCGGACCUUGCGCUAAUAGAUGAGCCUAAGUCGGAUUCGCUAGUUGGUGGGGUAAAGGCCUACCAAGGCGACGAUCUGUAGCGGGUCUGAGAGGCUGGUCCGACACACUGGGACUGAGACACUGCCCAGCCUCCUACGGGAGGCAGCAGUGGGGAAUAUUGGACAAUGGGGGGAACCCUGAUCCAGCCAUGCCGCGUGUGUGAAGAAGGCCUUAUGGUUGUAAAGCACUUUAAGCGAGGAGGAGGCUACUCUAGUUAAUACCUAGGGAUAGUGGACGUUACUCGCAGAAUAAGCACCGGCUAACUCUGUGCCAGCCGCCGCGGUAA
rnacentral:rRNA from 1 species